GACGAACGUUGGCGGCGUGCUUAAUACAUGCAAGUCAACUGAAGCAGUGGUAGCAAUAUCGCUGUGGAGGUGGCGCACGGGUGAGUAACACGUAGGUAAUUUGCCUUCAGGUCUGGCAUAACUCCGGGAAACCGGGGCUAAUAGCAGAUGAUGCAGCGGCUCGACAUCGAGACAGUUGUUAAAGCUAUGGCGCCUGAAGAUGAGCCUGCGUCUGAUUAGCUAGUUGGCGGGGUAACGGCCCACCAAGGCAACGAUCAGUAGCUGGUCUGAGAGGAUGAUCAGCCACACUGGAACUGAGACACGGUCCAGACUCCUACGGGAGGCAGCAGUAAGGAAUAUUGCUCAAUGGGAGAAAUCCUGAAGCAGCAACGCCGCGUGAGGGACGAAGGGCUUUUGCUUGUAAACCUCUGUAGUGAGAGAAAAAAAUCCCAAUCUUUGGGACAUGAUGGUAUCUCAAAAGUAAGCCCCGGCUAACUACGUG
rnacentral:rRNA from 1 species